rnacentral:rRNA from 1 species
CCUACGGGAGGCAGCAGUGGGGAAUCUUGCGCAAUGGGCGAAAGCCUGACGCAGCCAUGCCGCGUGAAUGAUGAAGGUCUUAGGAUUGUAAAAUUCUUUCAGUAGGGACGAUAAUGACGGUACCUACAGAAGAAGCCCCGGCUAACUUCGUGCCAGCAGCCGCGGUAAUACGAAGGGGGCUAGCGUUGCUCGGAAUUACUGGGCGUAAAGGGAGCGUAGGCGGACAUUUAAGUCAGGGGUGAAAUCCCAGAGCUCAACUCUGGAACUGCCUUUGAUACUGGGUGUCUUGAGUGUGAUAGAGGUAUGUGGAACUCCGAGUGUAGAGGUGAAAUUCGUAGAUAUUCGGAAGAACACCAGUGGCGAAGGCGACAUACUGGAUCAUUACUGACGCUGAGGCUCGAAAGCGUGGGGAGCAAACAGGAUUAGAUACCCUGGUAGUCCACGACGUAACGAUAGAUGUCUAGUUGUUCGGUUGUUUACGUAACUACGGUGUACGCGAGCUACGACAUAAGACAUACCGCCGUCGGGAGGUACGGUCGCGAGAGUAAACGUAACGUAAGAAGUUAGAGUCGUUGAGAGNGCGACGGCGACGACGAGGGAGGAGG